AGUUAAUGAACUUGUAAAAGUAUAUAUUUUGAAAAUAUAAAAAAGAAAUUUUGAUUUUCUAUUAACUU
rnacentral:tRNA from 2 species